UCUCUCUCUCGCUGUCAUCGAUUCCUUGAAAGAAGAAAAAGAAAAGAAAAAAGCAAAAAAAUUCAAAAUCAAAAUCAAAAGCGCUCGUAUUUCGAUCAGACAGAGGCGAGCAAUUCAAUCUCUCUUUUCCUCGUUUUGGAUCUUCGUUUGGAGGAAUCGAAUCGAAGAAGAAGCUCGAUCUUACAGGUUUUCUUGUUGGAAUUUCUUUGGGCCCAAUUUCUUUACUGAAAUCCAUCUGCUUUAUUCUCUUUUUCUUUUGAAUGUGUUUAGUGAGAUUCUGCUGCGUUUUUCUUAUUUUUUUGAUUAUCUGAAGCUUUUUUCCGAAUCGGUUUGAAUCGGAUUAUUUACGGAUCUUUGCUUGAUUUCUUAGUUUUUUAACGGAAUCGCUCGGUUUUCGCUUCGAUCUCCCGAUGGGAAGUCGAAUUUCCUUUUGAUUUUGCUUGCAUGCUAUGAUUUGAUGCUUCCUUCAGAUCUGUUUGGGGAAUUCGCUCAGUAGAAGCUUCGGUUUUCCGAUCCCUUCUCGAAGCUGGGUCGGUAGCUUCCGAGAUCCUGCUGCAGCUAAGAUUUCUGCUUUCAGAAUGGAACUACUGAAGAAGUGAAGAAAAUUGUAUCUAUGCUGGACGAUGGCAAAGUACCCUCGGCGGACACAGUGGCUAAUGGAUUGUGUGCAUAAGCCAGUGGCAGCGAUUGCUCUUUGGUAUGGUUACAGAUGAUGACUGCGAGCUGUAUGUGUUCCUGGAUACUUGGUUUCAUACAGUUGGUUCAUAAUGUAUGAUUUAACAUGUGCAACUUUGGCCCGAGAGCUGACUUGUAGGUAUCCUGAGCUGAGUCAGCUCAGUGAAUCUAGUUACCUUUUUUUUUUUUUUUAAAGUUACCUACUUGCCUAAUUCUUUUAUUUUUCUGAAUUGGAAAUCAUGAUAUUGGGAAUAAAGGAACUAGAAAUUAUUAUAAAAUUAAUAUAAAGAAACAGAAAAACUUAUGUUAAUGUUAAGGAGUGUAAUCCUGACUUAACAUAUAUGUUGGCAUAAUUUUAUACAUUGAGUGUGUAAGAGCCAAUGUCUUUGGUAGACAUGAGGGAUACACAAUAUCCAUGAUGCCCUCUAGUGACAACUGUUCUGUUUAUAUGAUGGAUAAGGAAAGAUCAUACUUCUAUGAGUCUGAUUUUAUUAAUCAGAUGAAAGAAUAAUGGCCAAUAUCCUUUCAUGCAUUAUGUUUGAUAUCAAGGAAAAAAUCAGUUCUAGCUUCGAAGGGUACUCAUUUUCUGGCGAAGAUACGGGGAGCUCAUGUCAAUUUGGUAAUGUAAAUUUUACCUGUGGUCUCAAUAGGACAAUUGGUGCCCUAACGGCCAUGUUCAUGAAUCUACUCUGUUCACUGGUCAGCCUACCACGGGCCAUGGAUGGUCCAUAGCUCAA